GUAACAUAUAGAACUGCAAACAUAAUUAAUUAACUUGGAAUAAAACACUAAUCCCACAUUCCUCUCAAGAUCAAUAACAUCAGAGAAUAUUUAAAUGGAAGGGACUGUUGAUAUUUCAAUUUAUUAUAUUUUCUUUAUCAAUUAACACUCAAAUGAUGAAGCUAUUUCUUAUUAAAUUGUACCAUCUAUUGAGAGGUUUUUAAUUUAAUGUAAAGUCCAAAUAAUAAUAUUGGUAUUUGCAGCUUGCUCUAUUUUGCAGCUUG
rnacentral:misc_RNA from 1 species